UACGUAGGGGGCAAGCGUUGUCCGGAUUCAUUGGGCGUAAAGAGCGUGUAGGCGGCCUGAAAGGGCAGCUGUGAAAACUCGAGGCUCAACCUCGAGACGUCGGUUGAAACCAUCUGGCUAGAGUCCGGAAGAGGAGUGUGGAAUUCCCGGUGUAGCGGUGAAAUGCGCAGAUAUCGGGAAGAACACCCGUGGCGAAGGCGGCACUCUGGGACGGUACUGACGCUGAGACGCGAAAGCGUGGGGAGCGAACAGG
rnacentral:rRNA from 1 species